GCCUAAAGCGUCCGUAGCCGGCUCUGUUAGUUUUCGGUUAAAUCCAUAUGCUCAACAUAUGGGCCGCCGGGAAUACUACAAAGCUAGGGAGUGGGAGAGGUAGACGGUACUCCGUAGGAAGGGGUAAAAUCCUUUGAUCUAUGGAUGACCACCAGUGGCGAAGGCGGUCUACCAGAACACGUUCGACGGUGAGGGAUGAAAGCUGGGGGAGCAAACCGGAUUAGAUACCCGGGUAGUCCCAGCUGUAAACUAUGCAAACUCAGUGAUGCAUUGGCUUGUGGCCAGUGCAGUGCCGCAGAGAAGUCGUUAAGUUUGCCGCCUGGGAAGUACGUACGCAAGUAUGAAACUUAAAGGAAUUGGCGGGGGAGCACCACAAGGGGUGAAGCCUGCGGUUCAAUUGGAGUCAACGCCAGAAAUCUUACCCGGAGAGACAGCAGAAUGAAGGUCAAGUUGAAGCCUUUACCAGACAAGCUGAGAAGUGGUGCAUGGCCGUCGCCAGCUCGUGCCGUGAGGUGUCCUGUUAAGUCAGGUAACGAGCGAGAUCCUUGCCUCUAGUUGCUACCAUUACUCUCAGGAGUAGUGGGGCGAAUUAGCGGGACUGCCGCAGUUAAUACGGAGGAAGGAGAGGGCCACGGCAGGUCAGUAUGCCCCGAA
rnacentral:rRNA from 1 species